rnacentral:rRNA from 1 species
GUAGUUUGAUCGUGGCUCAGGAUGAACGCUGGCGGCGUGCUUAACACAUGCAAGUCGAGCGGAGCACAUCGUUGGAAUCCUUCGGGAGGAAGAGGAUGUGGCUUAGCGGCGGACGGGUGAGUAACGCGUGGACAACCUGCCCUAUGCAGGGGAUAACAUCCGGAAACGGUGCUAAUACCGCAUAAGCGCACAGUACCGCAUGGUACGGUGUGAAAAGCUGAGGCGGCAUAGGAUGGGUCCGCGUUGGAUUAGGCAGUUGGCGGGUAACGGCCCACCAAACCGACGAUCCAUAGCGGCCUGAGAGGGUGGACGGCCAC